rnacentral:lncRNA from 1 species
UGUCCAAAAGCUCUAUUGGUAUAAGCUCUACUGAUAUAAACUCUACUGUUAUAAGCUAUAUUUAAUAAGCUGUACCAAACGGAGCCUAGGUGUUAAUGUCAACAACCCAAGGGGCUUCAUGGUCCUCUGGGCCGAAAUAAUUAUUAAUUCUCCUCUAGUGAAAAUCUUCAUCUUGGGACAAAUAAUUACAAAUUGACAUUAUAGCUGUGGAAAUUUGGAGGUGUAAUUACCGGAAAUUACAUCUAUUUCAAUUUGCUAAAAGUAAUGGUAUCAUUUCUUGUAUGGAAAAUGGAUGAUUAGAUUUUCUUUUUUGUUAUCCGACGAAGGAUAUUCAGUUGUUCUUUAUUUGUUCAUAGGCAAGAGCAUGAGCAUAUGCAUAUUUAAUAUAUGCUUCUUGCAUUUUCUAAUUAAGUGCUCUCUUUCCUUGCCUUCUUAGUUUUGAAAGAAAGUUGUGAAGCAAAGCAAACCCAGUGAAAUACACAGAGCAACAGAACCAUCAGAGGAAAAACUAAAUAACAGAACUACAAUUGAACCAAACAAAAUCAAAUAAACCGAGGCAACAGAUGCCCUGAAUCAGGCAUCCCUUUUUCUCCAAAGAAAAUAUGUUUGCAUGGGUGGGAACCUAGUAAUUGUUGGGGAAAAAUUAGGUUUUUAAAUUUUUAUAAAACCUUUUGAAGAUCGCUCUCAUAUAAUAUAUAAGAAUUUGUAUUCUAGAAAUCGUACCUUGAAAAUUUGAGUUUGCUUUUUCCGCUGAAGUGAUUUAGGCUCCUAGAUCACGAUCCGCCACCACCACUCCUGUUAGAUCACGAUCCGUCACCACCACGCUUGUUAGAUCACGAACUGUCUCCAAUGAUUUUCCAGGUUAUGACUCAGGUUCGAUCUGCACUUGACGUGUGGGCACCUUUAUCACUACCAAAGCAACUAGCACGAUAAAAUUUUUCUCUCAACAAUAGAGAGAAAAAUCUUAUUCUCCGAUUUGUAUAAAGUGGCUUCUCUUAUUCUUUAGAGAAAAUAAGCCUUUUAUAUCACCCUUUAGUGAAAACCUUAGGCUCCAAAUAAUGCCCUAAAUAAAACUCACGUUACUUUCUUUUUCAAUAGGGGACCCACCUUGUAAAAUAACAUAAGGCCCCUUAUACAAAAGCUAAUUAAAUGGAGCCUCCCACUAAAUGAUAUAUUUAGGCUUUUGACCCAAAUAGCUAGUUAUCUUACUUAUUAGUCCAAUAGUAGUGCAGUCAAUUAAAUGAGCUAACCCGGGGAUCAUUUGGGAACAUACAAUAGUGGCUACAAUAAUUAGGCCUGUAAUUAAACUAGCCCAAAUAUUUAAUUCCAAAUCUACUCCACUAAAAGAUUGGAACUGACUUCCAUAAUUGUAUGCUCGAAUAAUAAUUCGUCCCAAGCCACAUUGAUUUCUUCACUGCACAAUCCUUUGUACCACAUCGUUAAUUAAAUUGAUAUCUCAACUGUCCAAUCAAUUUAAUAACAUCUUAUUCCUUGAUCCUUACUGGUUUUCUCUAAUGAUCAUUUUCAACAUACUAAAUAUGUUGACACACUCUGGCCAGAGAAUUCUAUGAUCAAGUGCCGAAAACCCAUCAAGAGAUGUGUUGUACAAAUUCUAUAUUGUUAAUCCAUAACUCCAAUACUCAUAAUUGCUCCCACCAAGAUACCGGGUACUCUUGACCACAAUGAUGUGUCGUGCCUAUUGGUAACUCAAAUGGAAUAACAAUUACAAUCAUGAAAUCAUAAUUAACUCAAGAUUAAGAUUACAGUAAAAUCAACGCCUAUGAGAUUUAAUAAGUCUGACAGUUAUUACAAAGUUAAUUAAAUCUCAUAUGUGAUCCUGUUCAAUGUAGUCGUACUACAUCAAUAAAUUCAUACAUGAUUAAGACAAAUCAUUCAAUGAAUUUAUUACAGUCUAUACCUAAAUAAAGUGCCCAACUUUAUUUAUCAACUGCGAACUAAAUUUAUUUAAUCAUAAGAUAACUUGUAUUUAUGUCUUCUGUGAAUCCACAUGGUGAUCACAUAAAUACAUAUAAUAUGAUUAAAUGGACUUUUAAUACAAGUAUUAAUGCAAUUAAGAUAUUUGAAUAAAAUACCUCAUUUAUUUUAUUAAUCAGAAAAAUUGUUUAUUACAAUUAAAUAAACACAUAUGCUUUUAAAGAGCAUAUUUUCCCAACAGUAAUUACUCAAGAGUUGAGGAGUUGGAAAGAUUUGGUAUUCAUAUCUUCACAAUUCAUAUGCUUUAAUGCAGAAUCGACAGCUUUAUAUUAUUUUAUACACUUGCACUUGCUUGAGUAUUUGUGCCGACAUUUUCAUACGUGAUGGUACUUCUUAGCCAGUAGAUAUGUUGAAGUACUACAAAACAGAGUAUUUGAUGAAGUUUUGCUACUUUCGUAUCCCUUUUUUUGUUGCAUAACUAAAUUCUUUAUAAACACAAAUUAGAAAGCUACAAAUAAUACAGUAGGUUGAAUUUAUAUGCUUUUAUGAUUAUUUGAUAAUCUAGUGCUGAUCAUAUGUGAUGAUAAACUUAGCUAGUAGUUUUAUAUUUGUUUUCGCAGUUUCCUUAGCGUUCACAUUUUGAUGAGUAAAUUAAGGAUUUCCAGAUGAAGUACAUAAUUAGAUGAAUGCUAAGGAACUGAAGUUUGAUUAAUUGAAAACAAAAAUAAUGAUGCAGGUAAUUGCGAAAAUGAACAAUGCAGAAGUAGUCCUUAUAGUAUUUCUAAAUUUUCUCUUGAGGUUCCUUAGAAUUCCUUAAUAUUUUUAAAAAAUGACAUGACGAUCUUUGAGUUGACAAAUCUUGGCCUGCUGCUUAGUACCCUUCCAACAUAUAAAGUACUAGAUGUUUUACUGAGAAAAUGACUAGAUCAUUUACCAAAUUUCUUGCGCAUAUAUACGUAUGUAUACGAGAAAUGGGAAUCAAUGAUUAUAAGACCUUGCAAUGAGACAAUAAUACAUCAUCAAAUCUAAAAAUACACAAGAAAUUCGGGACAUAUAUAUAACAAAAGACCUCUCAUUGAGUCAUACAUAUUGAGAAUAAAAUGUCAAAAUGCAUACAAAGAGCUUAUACAGAAAAUGAAUUUACACAUAUUUAGAAUAAACUGUCUUUGAACUUUUGAUGGUCAAAUAAAGGAAACAGACAGGAUAUAACACACAUUAUCAUAGAUGUAGCGACACGGUGAAGUAAAUCACAUGAAGAUGGAAACGGAAACCCUUCACAAUAUAAAAUUUGAAUAGAGGGGGGAAAAAAGGCUUCAUUUGGAAUGUUGCACAGAAGAAGAGUGACUUGAAUCUCCAUCAGUAUCCAGACAUUCUACAAACACAGUGCUGAGAAUUUUAACAAGAAUAACAGACAAAAUAUUGUGCUUCUAUACUUGUCACAAAACUAGACCAAAUUAGUUCCCUUUUUGGUUUGUGAAAACUUGAUAUUUUUGAAAAUUCUAUCCAAUGCUUUUAAACAAUAUUUCCAUAAUAUAGUUGUUCAUAGCUAACCUUUGAUGGUUUAAGCAUUUGUUGUAGGCAUGACGGGCUGAUUAGAUUAUUAUUUUUUUUUAUCCGAUGAAUGAUAUUCAGCUGUUCUUAAUUAUGUGUUAAUAGGCAAGAGCAUUUUCUUAAGUACUUUCGUUGCCUUCCAAGUUUCCAAUGAACAAACAGAGCACAAACAAAUUUAACGAAACAAACAGAGCAUUUUCUUCAGUGUGCUUUCUUGAGACAUUUUGAUUUAGUCUCAUUAUGAUUAAAAAGGAAGCUCGCUUCUCGAGACAUUUUGCUAUAGUCUCAUUAUGGUUAUAAAGAAGCGAUGGUCUAGGAGACAUAUUGUUUUCGUCUCAUUUUGCUAGACAUCUGGACUUUAUGGAAAUGAGCAUGUUGAUCACAUUUUCAUGUUAUUUCCAUAAUUAUACUUGUAUACUACUACAUGGUCACGUGUUUAUAAGUGUCUUGUUAUAUGGAGCAUCCUGUCGGUGCACAUAUGAUUUGAUAUUUAUGGCACAUUUUGGACUUGUUUAUGUUCUGGGUGAUUGCUUGUAUUUGACCUUUUGUUAUAGUCACAUAUUGAUUAAUUCGGUUGUUUUCAAAAUAUUAUUUUAUUUUAAAUUUAUCAUUGGAGUGAUUUCUGUCGUCCAAGUGGGAGAUUGUUAGAUUUAUUUCUCAUAUUAUGUGGACUGACAUAAAUCAUUCUAAUUGUUUUCUAUAUUUUACCGAAUUAAUACGUGACUAUUGUCAAAUAUUAUGGAGCAAUUUUGACAUACCUUGUACAGUAGUAUAUUAUGGACAAGUAUAUCCUUAAUUGUGUUAUUUUCGCCCAUAAUGGGAUGGGCAAUUUUGUACUAACACAUGAGGGGUCCCUGCGCUCAACCACUGUAUUUAAGUAACUUCAGCCCAUUGGAAGUUAACUGUUCAAGAAAUCUGUGGCAUGAGUGCAGUGCAUCUCUCUCUCCCGUUUGUCUCCCGUGUGUGUGCACAGUAAAUUUUGAAGCAAGCCGAUCCUUGAGCUAAGGAAAAGAAAGCGGAAUUCAGAAGCUAAACCGAAGCAGCAGCAACUCUGUUGAAGCUCCAUAACAAGCUGCAAGCUCGGAUUCAUGGGAGAUCGUGGUAAAUUUCGAAAUUUACUACAAUAUGUGUUUAAUUUGGAAAUGCACGAUUAAAGGGCAUAAAGUGUGUUUUUGUUUCAUCAAUUGGUAUCAGAGCCCAUGGUUAUGCGUUUCCUUGUAAACCAUAGUUGUUUUGUUGAAGAAAUCUCACUCAUGGAAUUUUUUUUUUUUUUUCGGAUUUUUCGAAUUCUUCGAAUUUGGACAUAUUUCCUCAAACAGUUGUUAAAUAAUGCAUGAGUGAUGAUUUUGGAGCAAAGAUAUAAUUUUUUCGUGUUUUUUGGUGGCCAAAAUCGGGUUGGUAUGGAUGUGGAUGCUGUAAAUGUACUGUACAAUACUGUAGCAACAGCCCGAGGUUGAAGAUGAUGGGACAAUUUCAUUUGCAUCCCUAAAUUUUGUGAAUUGUCACUAUGGCCCAAAAUCUUUGCAAACUUUUCGAAAAGGUCCUUGACCGAGGGUCAACUAUGUAAAAGAUAAGUUUGGUCCCUUGAAUUUUGGGAAAUUAUAGUAUGGCCCAACAGUUUAUUUUAUUUUAUUUACAGUUUGGGCCAAAAGUUUUAAUAGUUAAAACAGUAAACAUAAUUCUGAAAAUUUUUCAUUUUAGUCCAAAAUCCUUUCAAUUUUGGCGAUUUUUCAGAAUUUUAAAUUUUAAAAUAAUCCAUCAGUUAUUGAAUCUUAUGGGCAUAUCAUUUAUAUAUUUUAUUGAGGCAUGUAGAUAUUUUAUUUGAUUUAAUAUCUUGUUAAUUUCAUUUGACAAAAUUUAUUUAGCCUCAAUUUUGUUAAUAUACGAAAUAUAUAUAUGAUGCAAAACUACAAUUUAGAGUGAUUGUGUAUCUGCUUAUCGUAGGACCAAUCAUGAUAAAUUAUUUGGUGGUUUGCAAUUGAUUGUCCAUUUACAAUUAUGAAUUAUGGAUUAUGUGAUGGAUUGUUAUUGUUUUGACCAAGAUCCAUACGGGUGAUGAUACUGCCCUGUCGGCAAAUCACUACUUGGUACUUGGUAGGAUGCUUGGGAAGAUAAAGAGAUUUGUUGAGUAUUUUCUACUGAGUGGCUUAAUUACCCUGUCGGUAAUAGGUCAAUGUUGGUGUUAUAUUCAACUUGUCUGCUUUAUCUUUAGGUUAGUGCAUUCCUAUAUUGUUAAAGGAUGCCUAACAUAUUGUGUUGCUAUUGGAGAAACUUAGAAUGAGGAGCAAUUGAUUAUAGCAUGAUUUUAAUUUUUGCAUGCUUGAUAAUUCUUUUGUUAUUGCUUCCUCAGCUCUAGAUAUUCUCUCCUUUCUCCAAGUAGCCUCCCUCAAGAAUUUAACUGGGAAAAAUUUUGAGGACUAGCGUGAGUCCAUUUUGUUUUAUUUGUCUACACUGAAUAGAGACUUGGCAUUAAGAGUUGAUGAACCAGCCAAGCCCUUUUUUUAGUUUUCUGCUGCUGAAAAGCAGAGUGGGCAGCUUGGGAUGAAUCCAAUAGACACUGUCUGGAUACAAUGAAAUACACCAUUGAUAGAACCACUAGAGAUAGCAUCCCUGCAUGUGAUAAGGCCAAAGAUUACUUGGCAGCUGUGGGAAGAACCUUUAAGAAGGUAGAUAAGGCAGAAAAGGGUAACUAUCUGAGGCUGCUUGCUAAUACCCAGUAUGAUGGUGUUUCUGGGGUCAGAGAACACAUCCUUAAGAUGACUAGUUACCAUAAGAAGCUGAAGGACAUGGAUGUCACUUUGCCUGAUGACUACCUGGUCUUCCAAAUCCUUGAAUCUCUUCCACCACAAUUUGGCAAUUUGAGAAGCCAAUACAAUACUCAGAGAGACACUUGGAAUAUCACUGAGUUGACUGCUUAUGUGGUUCAGGAAGAGGAAUCAUUGAAGAAGGGGAAAUCUCACACUGUCAUGGUGGCAACUACUCAAGAGAGUGGAAGUGUGAAGAAAGGCUCUUCAAAGGGCAGCAAUAAGUUUUUUAAGAAGAAAAAGUUUGGCAAGAAAACUUCACGUGGUACUUCUUCUACCACUUCUGGUUCCACUUCUGAGAGCUUUAAGGGAAAGUGCCACUUUUGUAAGAAACCUGGGCACAAGAGAGCUGACUGCAGGGGAUUCAAAGCAUGGUUGGAAAAGAAAGGUAUUCCUGUAGCCUUUGUAGGCUUUGAAUCUAAUCUUAUUGAUGUUCCUUCUGAUACUUGGUGGUUGGAUACUGGUGCAACCAUUAAUAUAACGAAUUCCUUACAGGAAUUCAGAAGCAGGAGGGAGCCCAAUGAAGGGGAGUUGAUAGUUCACAUGGGCAAUGGAGUGACAGCCAAAGUUGAAAGCAUAGGAGUUGUCAGACUACAUCUAGCCACAUGCCAUGUUUUGGAUCUAUUAGAUACAGCUUAUAUUCCUUCUAUUAGGAGAAACUUGAUAUCUGUAUCUAUUUUGGAUAGAUGUGGCUAUACUUUUCAUUUUGGUGAUAGAAAAGUUUACUUAUUCCGCAAUUCAGAGUUAGUUGGUUCUGGCACUCUAUAUGAUGGCUUGUAUAUGAUUGAUUUAUUUUCUCGUGCUAUUGAAUCAUCAUCCAAUGCUCAUGUUAUGCAUGUUGUUAGCUCUAAUCGUGUUAGGGUUGAUGAAAAUUCCUCUAUGUUGUGGCAUAAACGGUUAGGUCACAUUUCUAAACAGAGGAUGGAGAGGCUUAUUAAAGAUAGCAUUCUACAUAAGUUGGAUUUCUCUGAUUUUGGCACUUGUGUUGAUUGUGUCAAAGGCAAACUUACUGCCAAAACCAGAAAAGAGAGAACUCAGAGGAGUCAACAGGUGCUGGAGUUGGUACAUACAGACAUUUGUGGGCCAUUUACUUCUAUUGCCAUUGGAGGUUAUAAGUACUUCAUCACGUUCAUCGAUGACUUUUCUCGUUAUGGUCAUGUUGAACUUCUUGCUGAAAAGUCUGAAUCCUUAUCUGUGUUUCAAGCCUUUAAGGCUAAUGUUGAGCUCCAAAAGGGCAAGCAAAUUAAAGCAGUAAGGUCAGACAGAGGUGGUGAGUACUAUGGGCGAUAUGAUGAAACUGGGCGUAAUCCUGGACCUUUUGCUAAAUUUCUUCAGGAAUGUGGAAUAGAAGCCCAGUAUACAAUGCCCGGGACUCCUGAACAGAAUGGAAUUGCAGAAAGGAGAAAUCGUACCCUUCUUGACAUGGUGCGGUGUAUGCUGAGUAACUCCACCUUACCAGAUUUUCUGUGGGGUGAAGCCUUAAGAACUGCAGCUUACAUUUUGAAUCAGGUACCUAGUAAAUCGGUGCCCAAAAGUCCUUAUGAGUUGUGGUCAGGAAAGAGACCGAGUCUUCGUCAUUUUCAUGUAUGGGGAUGCAGAGCAGAAGUGAGGCCCUAUAAUCCACAAUCAAGGAAACUUGAUCCGAAAACAAUUAGUGGUCAUUUUAUUGGCUAUUGUAUCGGCUCAAGGGGUUCUAGAUUUUAUUGUCCUUCCCACACUACUAGAAUCAUUGAGUCCGAUCGUGCCAUUUAUUUUGAGGAUGAUCACAAUGGUGGGAGUUCUGAGCCUCGCAGUCUGACAUUGAGAGAAGAACGUGUGGUUUUGCCUAUUCCAUCUUUUCCGACUUCUGCGAUGGGAUUACCACAUAUUGAUGAUUCUUCUGUUGAUCCUGAACUUCAUCAUAAUAUGGAGCCUAUGAUUGUAGAGGAUGAUGGUACUGAUGUGCCAUUGAGGAGAUCAGAGAGGAUCAGGAGACCUGCAAUUUCUAAUGAUUAUGUUGUUUACUUGCAGGAGCAUGAUUUUGAUGCUGACUCUUCAUCUGAUCCUAUUACCUUUCAAGAGGCCAUCAGUUGUUCAGAAUCAUCAUCUUGGAUACAUGCGAUGCAUGAUGAGAUGGCAUCUAUGUAUCAUAAUGAGGUUUGGGAUUUAGUUGAGUUACCAGAUGGAUGCAGACCAAUUGGUUGCAAAUGGGUUUUCAAAACCAAAAGAGAUGCCAGAGGUCAGGUAGAGAGGUAUAAGGCCAGGCUUGUGGCUAAGGGUUUCAGUCAAAGAGAAGGCAUUGAUUACACUGAAACCUACUCUCCUGUUUCUACCAAAGACUCUUUUCGUAUUAUCAUGGCAUUGGUAGCUCAUUUCAAUUUAGAAUUGCAUCAGAUGGAUGUGAAGACAGCUUUUCUUAAUGGGAGCUUGUCUGAAGAUGUAUACAUGGUGCAACCUGAUGGUUUUGUUGAGUCUGGUAUAGAAAACAUGGUGUGUAAGCUUAAAAGGUCCAUUUAUGGACUUAAGCAAGCAUCCAGACAGUGGUAUUUGAAAUUUCACGAUAUUGUCACCUCUUAUGGGUUCCAGGAGAAUGCCGUUGAUCAGUGUAUAUACUUGAGAGUCAGUGGGAGCAAGUAUAUCAUUUUGGUGCUUUAUGUGGAUGAUAUCUUGCUCGCUGCUAAUGACAGUAAUUUGUUACUUGAGACAAAGCAAAUGUUGUCAUGCAGCUUUGAUAUGAAGGAUCUUGGUGAAGCCCAUUAUGUAUUAGGGAUAGAGAUUCUUCGUGAUAGAUCUAGAGGAAUUCUAGGUUUGUCUCAAAAGACUUACAUUGAUCGCAUUUUGAAAAGGUUCAAUUUGCAGUCUUGUGCUCCUGGGAAAGCUCCAAUUUCGAAAGGUGACAAAAUUUCCAAGUCUCAAUGUCCCGAUAAUGAUGUAGACAAAGCUAGAAUGCAAACAGUCCCGUAUGCAUCCGUUGUGGGUAGCUUGAUGUAUGCUCAAGUCUGUACUCGCCCUGAUAUUGCUUUUCCAGUGGGAGUACUUGGAAGAUACCUGAGCAAUCCUGGAUUUGAACACUGGAAGGCUGCAAAGAAAGUACUCAGAUAUUUGCGAGCCACUAAAGAUUUUGUAUUGACAUAUCAGCAAUCUGACUAUUUGAAUAUAGUUGGAUAUUCUGAUGCUGAUUUCGCAGGGUGCUUGGAAGACAAGAAAUCCACAUCUGGUUACAUCUUUAUGAUGGCAGGAGGAGCUAUAUCAUGGAAAAGUGUCAAGCAGACACUUAUAGCUUCUUCAACAAUGGAAGCAGAAUAUGUAGCAUGCUUUGAGGCUACACGUCAUGCUUUAUGGAUGCAAAAUUUUAUCACAGGGCUAGAUUGUAUAGUGGCCGUACCGAGGCCAUUAAAGAUAUACUGUGAUAAUUCUGCUGCUGUUUCUUUUUCUCACAAUACAGGGAGUUCCUCACGUUCCAAGCACAUUGAUAUUAAAUACUUGUUUGUGAGAGAGAAAAUUGCUCUAUCUUGUGUAUCAGUAGAGUAUAUCCCUACAGAACUCAUGUUAGCCGAUCCACUUACUAAAGCUUUAGCUCCAAAAGUAUUUAGGGAGCAUGUAACGCAUAUGGGAUUAUUUGAAUCCACUUAUAUAUGCUGAGUCAGUGGGAGUUCUGGUUUGUAUUAUGAGUUGCAACUUAAAUGAGCUUAUGUAUUACUCAUUUUGUUAUCAUGCAUGCAUGUUGUUAUGUGAUAUUGAUAUGCCAUAUAUUGUGUACACAUUUGGCUGCGUAUGGCAUUAUGUAUAGAAUGAGGAUACGAUGGUCCGAGACAUUUUGCUCAGUCUCAAUAUGGACAUUAAAGACUGAAGCAUUAUGAUUUAGCUUCAGUGUGCUUUCUUGAGACAUUUUGAUUUAGUCUCAUUAUGAUUAAAAAGGAAGCUCGCUUCUCGAGACAUUUUGCUAUAGUCUCAUUAUGGUUAUAAAGAAGCGAUGGUCUAGGAGACAUAUUGUUUUCGUCUCAUUUUGCUAGACAUCUGGACUUUAUGGAAAUGAGCAUGUUGAUCACAUUGUCAUGUUAUUUCCAUAAUUAUACUUGUAUACUACUUCAUGGUCACGUGUUUAUAAGUGUCUUGUUAUAUGGAGCAUCCUGUCGGUGCACAUAUGAUUUGAUAUUUAUGGCACAUUUUGGACUUGUUUAUGUUCUGGGUGAUUGCUUGUAUUUGACCUUUUGUUAUAGUCACAUAUUGAUUAAUUCGGUUGUUUUCAAAAUAUUAUUUUAUUUUAAAUUUAUCAUUGGAGUGAUUUCUGUCGUCCAAGUGGGAGAUUGUUAGAUUUAUUUCUCAUAUUAUGUGGACUGACAUAAAUCAUUCUAAUUGUUUUCUAUAUUUUACCGAAUUAAUACGUGACUAUUGUCAAAUAUUAUGGAGCAAUUUUGACAUACCUUGUACAGUAGUAUAUUAUGGACAAGUAUAUCCUUAAUUGUGUUAUUUUCGCCCAUAAUGGGAUGGGCAAUUUUGUACUAACACAUGAGGGGUCCCUGCGCUCAACCACUGUAUUUAAGUAACUUCAGCCCAUUGGAAGUUAACUGUUCAAGAAAUCUGUGGCAUGAGUGCAGUGCAUCUCUCUCUCCCGUUUGUCUCCCGUGUGUGUGCACAGUAAAUUUUGAAGCAAGCCGAUCCUUGAGCUAAGGAAAAGAAAGCGGAAUUCAGAAGCUAAACCGAAGCAGCAGCAACUCUGUUGAAGCUCCAUAACAAGCUGCAAGCUCGGAUUCAUGGGAGAUCGUGGUAAAUUUCGAAAUUUACUACAAUAUGUGUUUAAUUUGGAAAUGCACGAUUAAAGGGCAUAAAGUGUGUUUUUGUUUCAUCAGGGAACUCUCAAAACAAAAU